rnacentral:rRNA from 1 species
CAAAAACAUAGCCCUACGACACUCUUGUAAGGUGAAGCCUGCCCAAUGACUGCCAAUAAUCUAAUAAAAAUCAGUUCAAUGGCCGCGGUAACUCUGACCGUGAUAAAGUAGCAUAAUCACUUGUCACUUAAUUGGUGACUGGAAUGAAUGGCUAAACGAAUCCUCCCCUGUCUCUGAAGAAAUCCUGGCAAAUUUGAAAUAGCAGUGAAGAUGCUGCUAAAUAAUUGUAAGACGAAAAGACCCUAUCGAGCUUUACUGGAAUCUUGCAAAGUAACAUAGUUAUUAAAGACAAAAUUAUACAAAUUGCAAGCCCGACAGUUUGGUUGGGGCGACCACCCCUAAAAACGUAUCAGGGGAACUCUAAGGGCUGUCAUAAUAUGAAAAACCGCCUUACUGGAGACAAACAAGUCAAUCAGUUAUAAUUUAUAGGACAUAUUGACCCGUUAUUUAGCUUCACAACAAAUAACGACUAUGAAAAAAGUUACCGUAGGGAUAACAGGGUAAUA